rnacentral:rRNA from 1 species
CCUAAUACAUGCAAGUCGAACGAGUUCUCGUUGAUGAUCGGUGCUUGCACCGAGAUUCAACAUGGAACGAGUGGCGGACGGGUGAGUAACACGUGGGUAACCUGCCCUUAAGUGGGGGAUAACAUUUGGAAACAGAUGCUAAUACCGCAUAGAUCCAAGAACCGCAUGGUUCUUGGCUGAAAGAUGGCGUAAGCUAUCGCUUUUGGAUGGACCCGCGGCGUAUUAGCUAGUUGGUGAGGUAAUGGCUCACCAAGGCGAUGAUACGUAGCCGAACUGAGAGGUUGAUCGGCCACAUUGGGACUGAGACACGGCCCAAACUCCUACGGGAGGCAGCAGUAGGGAAUCUUCCACAAUGGACGCAAGUCUGAUGGAGCAACGCCGCGUGAGUGAAGAAGGCUUUCGGGUCGUAAAACUCUGUUGUUGGAGAAGAAUGGUCGGCAGAGUAACUGUUGUCGGCGUGACGGUAUCCAACCAGAAAGCCACGGCUAACUACGUGCCAGCAGCCGCGGUAAUACGUAGGUGGCAAGCGUUAUCCGGAUUUAUUGGGCGUAAAGCGAGCGCAGGCGGUUUUUUAAGUCUGAUGUGAAAGCCCUCGGCUUAACCGAGGAAGCGCAUCGGAAACUGGGAAACUUGAGUGCAGAAGAGGACAGUGGAACUCCAUGUGUAGCGGUGAAAUG